rnacentral:lncRNA from 1 species
UGGCUGUAAUUCAUCAACAGUCCGUUUUCUUGUUCGACGUCUAAAAUAGCAGUGCAAGUGAGAACAUUUUCUAUGUCCAAAUUUGUCAACUCUUUCGUGCACUUUGGGGUGGCAUGGCUUCAGCCUCUGAGAAAACAGUUGAAUAACUUGACUUUAGACUACGUGAUGAUGAGAGGCGUGAUUUAACUACAUAAAGUCAAAAAUACUGCUCAUACUUGUGAUUGUGAUAAACAAAGAAAGCAAAUUUGAAAUUUCGUGUCAAACUGUCAAGGGAUUCUGUUUAACAUCACGUCGACACUUAGCUGUCAUCUGUCAAUUUGGCUACAAUCUCGGAUCGGUUAACCAUAGGAUCGGAUCUUUUUUCUACAUUCUUCUAUUACUCAAUAUUAUAAGGGGAUUGAGUCUUUGUCAGAGGGCAUCGUUUGCCACCAGUCAAUGUUGAACAAAUUGGCCGGUAGCUGGGAAUUCAUUCAUAACUUUGAAAUUUGACAAGCAGGCUGUUUCUAUCUUCGACUAAGCUAAAAGAAGUCAUUGUAUCAUCAGCCCUUACUGAUGAAAUUCUUUUGAAUCCCACAAUAACUAUGACCACCAUCUAGCCUUUCCAGUCAAUGAGCUUCGAAAAUUAGCAAGCUGUCUGAAAAAAGGGGGAAAACGACUAGGGCUCAAGACUUGUUCUCUGAUGUGAUCCCCAUUAGUACUGACACCAAACUCCCUGCUUUGUUGAUCAAACAAUUGGUUCUGAGUGGAAAACUCACUGAGAUGGAAGCACAUUUAUGAUUCUUGUCCUACCCUACCAUCUGAGCAACUGUUCACCUCACGGGAGAAUCUCUUGAAAGAGAGCCUCAACAUAAAGAUCAAGGAACCGAUACCAUCAACAAGUACAUCAUAGCAUCAUAGCAUGUCGUGCAAGUCGUCAAAGAUCCACACUGCGUACUCCAACUUGAUGCCUGCUUCACUCUACGUAACACCAACUUGAUCCCUGCCAUUGAGCAAUAUGAGCAUCUUAUGGAAAUACGCAUCUUGAGCAUCUCACGUCAAAAGCGGCUCCGUUCUUCACGCUGUCAACCUCACGUAAUCUUUGCUCUGCAGGCUGCAGCCCAUCGUCACCGUUAACCGCAACAAUUUCUUGCCUGCUAUUCUCUCCCUGAUUCUGAAUGCCACCGAGAUCCGUGUAACCGCUUUCGUUCACCUUGUUCUGCCGGUCUGCGUUCAUCCCACUUUCCUCGAGCUGUUAUCUUUCCCCGUGUCUGUUAUUUGUUUAUAAAAAUACAAUCAUUUGCUAACAAA